UACGUAGGAGGCAAGCGUUAUCCGGAUUUAUUGGGCGUAAAGGGAACGCAGGCGGUCUUUUAAGUCUGAUGUGAAAGCCUUCGGCUUAACCGGAGUAGUGCAUUGGAAACUGGGAGACUUGAGUGCAGAAGAGGAGAGUGGAACUCCAUGUGUAGCGGUGAAAUGCGUAGAUAUAUGGAAGAACACCAGUGGCGAAAGCGGCUCUCUGGUCUGUAACUGACGCUGAGGUUCGAAAGCGUGGGUAGCAAACAGG
rnacentral:rRNA from 1 species